AAGGAGUCUAACAUCUAUGCAAGUGUUUGGGUGUAAAACCCGUACGCGUAAUGAAAGUAAACGUAGUUGAUAGCAUUUUUGGUGUAUGAUUGAUCGAUCCUGAUGUCUUUGGAUGGAUUUGAGUAAGAGCAUAGCUGUUGGGACCCGAAAGAUGGUGAACUAUGGGUGAAUAGGGUGAAGUCAGAGGAAACUCUGGUGGAGGCUCGUAGCGUUGCUGACGUGCAAAUCGAUCGUCUAAUUUGGGUAUAGGGGCGAAAGACUAAUCGAACCAUCUAGUAGCUGGUUCCCUC
rnacentral:misc_RNA from 1 species